GGGGUCGUGGUCUAGCUCGGUAUGACAACGGGCUCCAGACUCGUUUGGAUAUACGAGUUUAUCCAGAGGACUUAUCAAGGGUUCAAAUCCCUUCGACCCCA
rnacentral:tRNA from 1 species